rnacentral:tRNA from 1 species
GAAGCGGUGGCUCAAUGGUAGAGCUUUUGACUCCAAUUAUCAAAGGGUUGCAGGUUCAAUUCCUGUCCGUUUCA